rnacentral:tRNA from 1 species
AAUGAAGUAGCUCAAUUGGAUAGAGCGCUAGACUACGAAUCUAGAGGUUCCGGGUUCGACUCCCGGCUUAUUGA